rnacentral:rRNA from 1 species
UAGCUAGUGGUGAAGUUAAGCUCACCAAGGCGACGAUCCAAGCCGACCUGAAAAGGUGAUCGCCCACACUGGGACUGAGACACGGCCAGACUCCUACGGGAGGCAGCAGUAGGGAAUCUUCGGCAAUGACNGGAGGUCUGCCGGAGCAACGCCGCCUGAGUGAAGAAGGUUUUCNGAUCGUAAAGCUCUGUUGUUAGAGAAGAACGUUGUAGGGAGUGGAAAAUCUACCAAGUGACGGUACUACCAGAAAANGGGACGGCUAACUACGUGCCAGCAGCGCGGNUAAUACGUAGGUCCCGAGCGUUGUCCGGAUUUAUUGGGCGUAAAGCGAGCGCAGCGNNUUCUUAAGUCUGAAAGUUAANGGCAGUGGCUUAACCAUUGUACGCUUGGAAAACUGGAGGACUUGAGUGCAGAAGGGGAGAGUGGAAUUCCAUGUGUAGCGGUGAAAUGCGUAGAUAUAUGGAGGAACACCGGUGGCGAAAGCGGCUCUCUGGUCUGUAACUGACGCUGAGGCUCGAAAGCGUGGGGAGCAAACAGGAUUAGAUACCCUGGUAGUCCACGCCGUAAACGAUGAGUGCGAGGCGUUAGAGCUUUCCGGGGCUU